rnacentral:rRNA from 1 species
CAGCCGUAAACUAUGCUCGCUAGGUGUCAGGCAUGGCGCGACCGUGUCUGGUGCCGCAGGGAAGCCGUGAAGCGAGCCACCUGGGAAGUACGGCCGCAAGGCUGAAACUUAAAGGAUUGGCGGGGGAGCACAACAACGGGUGGAGCCUGCGGUUUAAUUGGACUCAACGCCGGGAAGCUCACCGGAUAAGACAGCGGAAUGAUUGCCGGGCUAAAGACUCUGCAUGACUAGCUGAGAGGAGGUGCAUGGCGUAGACGUCU